UUUUUUUUUUUUUUUUUUUUUUUUUAAAUGGCUACACCCACAGCAGAUGGAAGUUCCUGGGCCAGGGGUCGAACCUGCAGUGCCACGGAGAAAAUGCCGAAUCCUUAACGCCCUGUGCCACAUCAGGAACUCUUCGUAUCCAUUAUUAUAAUGUAUAUAAUUGGGAUUUUUAAAUCUGAACUUAUUUCUCUUAAAGCGAAAUAAACUAUGUAAUAGAUUCUGGAGGCCUAAUGUGGCCCUAUAGUGGGGAUAAUCAUUGUACAGAAUUGCACAUUGAUAAUAAUAAAGUUAGGAAAUGGUAUGGUCAUGGAGAGCAUCAGAAAAGGCAGACUAUAAGGAUGAGGAAGUAAAAGAAGGAAGGAAUGGAUUAGACACAAUUAGAAACAAAGACGUGCAUCGCAAAAAUCCUCAUCUGUGUUCCGAUGGGAAAGUUCUGCUAAGUCAAUGGUUCCCAGACUUUGGAAUUUUAAAGCAAAAAAAUUGAGAGGUCCAGCAUAGGAUUACCAACUCAUCAACUGUUUUUUUGCCAAGUAAAGCUAUUUUCAACAGAACAAUGGCCUUAUAUGAGAACCAUGAUUUCAUAUGAGGAUAUUUAUAUCCUAUAUACAUUUAAUAUCAAAAAAUAGGAAAGGAUAAAAAGAACAGUCCUCUGUCAAAGGGGACUUUUGAAACCUUUUAUUAAUGUAUAUAUAGGGGUGUGUGCGUGUGUAUGCGUGUGUGUGCGUGUGCGUGUGCGUGUGUGUGUGUUUGUGUGGCUAUGUUGCACUGACCUUCCUUUUUUAUAUCGGUUCACCAAUGCCCAUGGUGUUUUGGAAUACAACCAUGAUAAAAGCACUCAUGAGGGUAUAGAAUUAUUUAAUAUCCUCUCAAAAAUAACUUCUAAUAAGAAAUACAGCAACUAUUGAACGUAGUGUUAACAACCCAACUUGAUGUAACACGUAUUUAUUGACCAACUGUUUGUGUGCCAGAUACUAUAAUAGGAGUUGGGGACAUGUUGGUUAACUAUGUAAUCACAGUUCCUAACCUUAUAGUCUAGUAGGGCCAUGAACAAUUUUUAAAAAUAUAUGGUUGAAAUGCCUUAACUACCAUGAAGGCAAAACACAAGUUGCUGCGAGAGCAUAUAGUCAAAUCAGCAUUAAGCUGUCUCUGGAAGGGCUGCCCGUGUGCCUUUUGUGUAUUUAAGUCAUCUAUCUUCUCUGUAUCUUAAGAAGGCAUCAUCUCUAGGCAGAUAGAUUACAAAAGGGUUGUCCCCUUGGAUGGCUGGAUUAGAAAACGAUGCCCAUUCCUUAUGUGUAUCCAGGCCUACCCACUGGGGCUUGGGUAGGUGAAUGGAGCACCUCUAGGAAAGGGUUUCAGGAGAGGGAAAGACAUGAUCAAGUUUGCAUUUACAAUAAAAAUGUGAUAAUAUAAUAAAUAAACCUUAUUUAUUAGUUUGGAGUAGUUAGAGCUGACUAAACCCUUUCCAUUUGCUUGAGUGAAGUGGAACCCAUAGCAGACAUUUAAAGUUGAUUAAGCUAUUGUUUGGGUGCAUAACUUUUAUUUGGUUCACUGGUUGGACAAGACUUAAAGAUUCCUUUAGAAAAGAGAGCACUUCUCCAGUGCCUCAGGCAAAAUUGACUGGCUCAGGGCUACACCACCGAGAUGGACACUGUCUUCUGAAUCACACACACAGGUCUUUUGACAUCUAGGUUUUCUGGAUUCACAUCCAACCUAGGAUUUACUCAGAUCACUCUGGUUUUGCCUAUGAAAUGUGGGUGAGCCACCUGAAACAGGUGUGCUAUAAUUUGUUUCUUUUCUCAGGAGAAACAUUCUUUAAAGGAAUAUACCCUUGUGGUUUUAGUGGUUCUCCUCAGUUUCUAACUCUGGUCACAAGAGGGAAAUUACUAUCUGUCCUUUGUUUGUACUACUUUUUUGUGCUUACCAAUUUUAUGAUUCUCCCAUUUUUUAAAAAUCAUUGGUAUUAUUUUUUUUCUUUCUUUCUUUUUUUAGGGCCACACCCAAGGCAUAUGGAAGUUCCUGGGCUAGGAGUCAGUAGAAUCGGAGCUGCAGCUGUCAGCCUACGCCACAGCCACAGCAAUGCCAGAUCUGAGCCACAUCUGUGACCUACCCCACAGCUCACGGCAACAUGGGAUCCAUAAUCCACUGAGAGAGGCCAGGGAUCAAACACACAACCUCAUGGAUACUAUUUGGGUUCAUUACCACUGAGCCACAUUAUCCUUUAGUGAAGUUCGUGCCAGGCAUUGUGAUAGCAACUUAGCAAGCAUCAUCUCUAACCCUUUCAAUAACCCUGAAAGGCAGGAACUAUUAUUCCUGUUUGACAGAUAAGGAAACUGAGGCUUGGGCAGGUUAAGACAUGCCCUAAAAUUUGAUAGUAGUAAGUGGUUAAGUCAAGCUUCCAAUUCAGGCCUGUCUGACUCUGAAGCCGUCAUCUUUCAUCUCUGUCCAUCUCUUUUCAUUCCGGACCAGAAUGUGAUAACGCAUCUGUCCCAAAAAAGUGCCAAAAUUUUACUUUAAAAAGCAGAUUAAAUUCACUCCAGAGAAGAUAAAACUAAUAUGGGAAGUGGUGGGGAGAAGGGCCACCAUGAAGCAGGGAACUCUGAAGAUCUUAGGUGGAAGGAAGGAAACAUUAAGGCGAUGGCUAGAAUCAGGGAUUGAAUGAAUUACGUUAGGAUUGUAACAUUACAAUCAGCUGGCUGGAAGUCAGGUAGUAAAUGAGGCAGAAAGAUGCCUGGGUGCAAGGGGCUCACAUAUUUGGAACCCAGAUAAAUCUCUGCUUUUUCUUCCCAGGCUCUAUCAGUAUUUUUUUUUUUUUUUUAACCACCUGGAUUUCAUGUAUAUGUUAUUUUGUUCCAUUCUAUUUAAUAAUCUUUUCACUAGUUGUGGAACUUACUGUAAACACAAAAAGGCAGUUAUUAGGAUUCUGUUCAUCUAAAAAUUCCUGGAAACGCACUUUAAUCAAGCGACUCAGAAUUAUUCUUCACGAUUGUAUGAAAAAUGGUAACGUCCUAGGCAAAAUGGGUUUGGGCUUUAAAUAAUCAGGAGCAAAGUGUUGUCAUGGAGAGAACAUACCAUUAGGGUGAGGUAGUUUAUCAGCCCAGAAGCGUAAUAGUUGCCUGACUUUGAACAAGUCAUCAACCAGCUCUGAGCCUCAGUUUCCUUACAUGAAAGUGAAAGGGUUAAAACAGAUGUAAGUCAAUACCCCUUUAAUUUUGUGAUUCUAAAUAGUUCUAGGUGGAAGGAAUGAUUGUGCAUUGCAUUCAUAGCUAAAUGGCUUCUUCCCAGUACAGUUGCUCCUAAUUAUGGGUGGCUCAGUAAUCUUCAAGAGGAACCAGUGUUAUUUGGUUGGUGGAUACCAAUCCACUUUGAUUUGCCUCCAUCAGAGAUUGGGAAGAUGAAAGCUACCUAGAUAUGUACCAUUCUGUCAUCUUGUUAAAUGACCUUGACUCCUUAAACAUCUAGAUUUGAACUGGAGACAUUUCUGAAAUGUUUUGGGGGUACAUUUGGACCAUAAUAAACUCCACUGCAAAUGAGUUUCAUCAUCACUAUAACAGCUGCCCCAAAACUACUGGGUGGGAAUUGAAUGAUGGAUUUUAUAAGGUAGCAUCUAGGCUACCUUAUAACUCCAGCCUUUGAGAUCAGGCCUCUUAAAAAGUCAGGAGUAUUAAGAGAAAAAUAUUAAAGUAUCAUUGAUAUUCA
rnacentral:lncRNA from 1 species